rnacentral:rRNA from 2 species
GACGAACGCUGGCGGCGUGCCUAAUACAUGCAAGUCGAGCGAAGGAUAGGUUACGAGCCUUCGGGCGAGGGACCUAUUACUUAGCGGCGAACGGGUGAGUAACGCGUGGGCAACCUGCCCCCCAGACUGGGAUAACAGCUCGAAAGGGCUGCUAAUACCGGAUGAGCCUCUGGUGCCGCAUGGUGCUGGAGGGAAAGCGGUUCAGCGCUGGGGGAUGGGCCCGCGUCCCAUUAGCUAGUUGGUGAGGUAACGGCUCACCAAGGCGACGAUGGGUAGCCGGCCUGAGAGGGUGGACGGCCACACUGGGACUGAGACACGGCCCAGACUCCUACGGGAGGCAGCAGUAGGGAAUAUUGCGCAAUGGGGGGAACCCUGACGCAGCGACGCCGCGUGAGCGAAGAAGGCCUUCGGGUCGUAAAGCUCUGUCCUAUGGGAAGAAGGAGACGGUACCAUAGGAGGAAGCCCCGGCUAACUACGUG